rnacentral:lncRNA from 1 species
AACAACUUUUAAGGAUAUAUUGCUUUUCAUAAGUUAUAUACCUUGUUAAAGGUCCAGUGAAUGUUGUAAACUUGUGUAUAUGAAGCAAAAUAAAACCUUUGUCAUUGUUAAUGGAAGUGAAUCAGCUUCCGGUUGCUAGCCGCAGGUGGAGAGUAGCUUUGUAGUAUAGGAGACAUAUAAAACUGUAUCAUCAUGCACAUGGGAGAGUAAUGUUACUUUCUUGUUGUAAUUUUGUAACAUUAGUGUAUUUUCUUCGGCAGGAUUGUUUUCCUGUUCUAUCACAUUUCUUUGUGUUUCUAUAAUUUUCUCUUUUGUGGUACGUGCAUGCGUUUUGUUUCUGCGUUUUCAAACAAGAAAAGAAGUCUAUGAUCCUCUCUAGGUUAUGGCUGAUCUUUAAGGAAGCUCAUUAAAGGUGCAACAUUUUUACGUACAAACUAGAGAUAUAUUUUUACGAAUAUUUUAAAAGAUAUUUUUAUCAUAUUGACAUGAGAAUAACUCGUAAGCUAUAAUACUUUUCGUAUAUUUUUGGACUAUUUAAAUUUUAGUUUUAAAAUAUGAAUUGAUCUAAUUUACAACUAAUUUGAGAUGGAUGAAGUAUAGCUUACCUACUUUGGCGGCUGUCCUCUUGCUCUUUAUCGUUGCUAUAUAUAUAUAUACCUAAAUGGACAAAUAAUAAUAGCUGCAAAUUACACGAUAACUAAUGGUUAGGCAAUUAUUUUGGUAAGCCCGACCAAUUUUUCAACUUUCAUGCCACAAGAUAUCGACGUUGUUAACAAAGUUGGUAAGAAUUGAAUUGCAUUCUCUACCUAACGUCUACUAAAUACCUCUGGAAUGACCCUUCUCUCCUCAGGAUAAAUGAUCUACCUGCACGUUUUGUUUUUCCUUGUUGUUAUUUUCUUUCGAAUCCCCCUCCCACCCAAAUUUAGUUGUUACCAUCUUUUCCUAAGUUCUACAAAAGACAUCAAACUGUCCGCGAAAUAAUCCAAAAUUUUAUUACGAAUUUUAGAAAACGACUAAAAAAACUUAAGACUUCAUGAAAUUCAAUUAUUUCUCCUACGUCAUUUUUUUCUCAAAUUUAUCCAUUUAAAAGGGAAAAAAUGAUGCACAACCAUUAAAAACAACAUGUGCAUUAUUUUCAUGGAAAAAGAAAUACACUAUAGUAUUUUUUUUAAUACUUGGCUUUUUACACGACGGCAUAAUAUAAUUCCCUCAAGAAAAAAAAGGAUGAUUUGACUAUUAUACCAUCCACGAAGAUGGAAUCUUGACAUCUCCAAAAAUAAAACAAAAUAAUAAACUGUAGUACUCAAAUUUGUGCACUAACAUCUUUUAAUUAAAACAAAACAUUUUUUAAUUCAUCUACAUACAAGUAGUUGGAAACUAAAAGGGGCAAGUACUAUAUAUAGUCAAAGUCCAAAAUGAACAACUCCACUGAUCUUGGUCCGGCACAGCACAAGAAAAUUAUCACUAUAAACAAUCCUGAUUGAUUAGUUACAAAUAAAGAAACCUCUUUGUUUCUCUCACCCUACAGUAGAAUCAGAUAAAUUGUUUUUCCUGUCCAAAAAUAUGGCCCUAGAGUUAUGGGAAACAUUGAAAGACUCCAUCACAGCUUACACAGGUCUCUCUCCUACAACAUUUUUUACUGUGGUUGCUCUAGCACUUGCUUUUUACUAUGUUGUCUCGGAAUUGUUUGGUUCAACUGAUCAUGGUCACCAGCAGAGGUCUAGAAAUUUUGAGGAACAGGUGCAGCCUCUGCCGCCCCCAGUUCAGCUUGGAGAGAUUAGUGAAAAGGAGUUGAAGGAGUAUGAUGGGUCUGAUUCAAAGAAGCCUUUGUUGAUGGCAAUUAAGGGUCAGAUCUAUGAUGUUUCUCAGAGCAGGUAAUUUUAUCUUGCUUUAUAAGUUUUCUAAGCUAUUCGAUGUUAUUUGAAGCUUUGACUUUGAAUUUUAGAAUUAUUGGCUUUUUGUUGUGGAAUUUUUCGUGCUUGUUUGUUCUUUUUGCUGUUUUUUAUUGGUGAUUGUGGAAAGUUUUAAGCUUUAUGUGAAAGUUGGGAAAUUUUUGGUUGAGAAAAAAAGAGUUAGUGAUCCUAGAAUCAAUCUCUCUUUCUGUUUUCUUUGAACUGCUUUAUGCUUAUUUAUUUGCUGGGAAAAGUUCUAAUUUUGCUGAAAUUAUCAGACUCAAAAAUUUGAUAUUUACACGGCGUAGUGUUUCGGCUUGGGAAUUGGUGGAAUACGGAACUAGUAGGGAGUUAGUGUGUAGGUGACACGAUCAGUAGCACCCAAGGGUGUGAUAUAGCUUCAAUAAAAUGGGUGAAGAUAGGGUUCAAACCCAGUAAAGAAUAAUAUACUCCCAUUUAGUUGUAAAGAUAAGGUUCUACACGCCCAUUAAAAAAAAUUAAUAAGAAGAAUAAUUUGACUAAUCUAUCCCUUAUUAAUUCUUUAAUCUUUAUCUAUAUACGUGCUUCUUAAUUCUGGAACAAUUAGUGCUGAGGGUGCAGUUGGGAAAAGAUAAUUAAUUCUCUCUUGAUUUUCUAAAAUAACAAGUAUUUGGGAACAACUAUUUUUAGUAUACAUGACAACAAAAUGGGAACGGAGGGAGUACUAGCCACUUUUUCUAUAUGCCUAAACAAAUUGAUAGGCAGAGUUAUCCAGUGCUGGGGUAAUCGGUCUCUGGUGGAAUAGUAUAUACGUGCAUACUGGGCCGCGAACUACUGUUAUUAAAAGAAACUAUCAAUAUAUUUUCUCUUUAGUGUAUAGGUGCGACAAUUGAACAAAUACUCUAGUAAAAAGUUCCUUCUGCAAGGAUUAUCCAACGGCUGAUUAAGUAUGUCAGUCUGCCAGCCAGGUAGCCAUUAGGAUCAAGGCCUAAUACAAUGGCAAAGCUUAGACUGCAAGGAUUUAAAGCAGUCUUGACUUGUUUGUGAUUCUUUCAUUCCUUGUUGGAACACUGUGACUUUUACUUGAUUCUCAGUAGAUUGACUUAUAUUUUCCAGUUUUAAUUCAAGCAGUUAGAAAAAUCAUGUGUCAUCUUUUGGAUUGGAAUCAAGCAAGCUCUUUUCUUUUUCUUUUGAACACGUAUAUUUACUUUGUUAUGUUUGGUGAGCUUGGUUCGUCUCCGUGAAGCAGUUCAUCGGUACUUCAAUAAAUCUUGGAUCUGGACAUUUAGUAAUAACUAGUCCUUGUUUCAGCAUAAACAUGAUAUUGAACACUGAAUGUGCAUUAUAUUGAACCAGGACUAUGUCCUUAAGUGAUCAAAUACCUUGAGUUGAGUUUGAAUAAGUAGCUAACCUCACAAAUGUAUGCCUGAGUAUCUUGAUAAACGUUAAUCAUUUCAGUUAACUGCUAAAGGUCUAUCGUUUGUUUCAGUAUCUCUCUUAAUUGCUCUAAGCUACCACUACAUAUUCGUAUCUAAGUCUGUUCACUGUGUCCUGCAGAAUGUUCUAUGGACCUGGAGGACCUUAUGCAUUGUUUGCUGGAAAGGAUGCUAGUAGAGCUCUCGCCAAGAUGUCCUUUGAGGAAAAAGAUCUCACCGGCGAUAUCUCUGGCCUUGGCCCAUUUGAGCUUGAAGCCUUGCAAGAUUGGGAGUAUAAAUUCAUGAGCAAGUAUGUCAAAGUUGGGACUGUCAAGCAGACAGUGCCAGUAAGUGACGGUGCAGCUAAUGGUGAAUCUGUUGAAUCAACUGAUCGCGAAGCUAAGCCAGCAGAAGGUGUUGUAGCAGAGAGCACAAAGCCAGCAGAAGGUGUUGUAGCAGAGAGCACAAAGCCAGCAGAAGAUGGUCCAUCCGAAAGUGUUGCUGAAACUAUGGACAAGUUUGAUGGUGAUGCUGAAAAGAAGGAUUAAUUGGCACCCCAUUUUUAUCAAGUAACAAGCUGAGCACUAUGGGAAACAGUUUUUUGUGGAGAUCCAAAAAAAAGGCAUUGAAAAGAUGUGUAUAUUAUCUCGUGUCAGACGAUUGUUGUUGAUUCUAGAACAUAUACUCCUUAGUCAAGUUACUUUAAGUCUAUGAUUUGGUGUAUGAAAUAAUAAAACAAGCAUUUUAAUGUAUCAAUGGAGCUCAUACUAGACGACCAUUCGCUAAUAUAAUGUUCACCUGUAUGUCUGCAAGUGGUAGCAAUUCCCUUUUAUCUCGUGUCAAGUGCAUCUCUUCUUGUGGUAGCCACUUCUGAAACCAUCACACCCUUCCCCCCUUUUUGUUGUUUUUGAAGCAUUCCCCUCAUUUGGCAGUAAAAAGAAGGGAAUUUUGGCAGUAGUAUCAGUAUCAAGAAUAUUUAUCUCUAAGUCCAAUUGAAGGAGACGUUAAAUAUAGUAAUAAAAUUUCUACUGUGGUUGUCUGCGUAUGAAGCUUUGAUCAACUUUUGUUAACGCAAUACUGCUUAUAUGGCCCGUGGAAGUGCCAGUGCGGGUAGCUUUUGUUUACCUGGGAUAGGACCACAUCUUUGGGAUUCCUAUGUAAUAACACCACCAACAUAUUCCAUUUCUAACUCUCCCUCACUGAAUAGCCAGCUUCAUUAUAUACUACUAUGAAUUGGACAGUGUACUUCUGCACUCAAGGUGUCACACACCUAGUCAAUAAAAUGGGUGAGAACCAUGGGAGAGCAAGGUUUAAAUCCCAAGCGAGACAAAAAAAUGUGAUUUUUUUCAAUUUGCCUAAGUUUUGGUAGACAGAGUUAUCGCGUUGGUGGGAGGGGGAGUACCAGUCAAUAGGACGCGCAAAUUGUGCCAAACAUAGCAAUUGAUGAUGGCGGUGCUAAGAUGUAUUUUACUUAAUAUUUACAAGUGGCCGUUCGGCAGUUCUUCCAAGCUGCAAUGUUUGUCUGAGAGAGAUCCUCGACCAAAUUGGACAAGUGGAGCUAAAAAAGAUUCUAUAUUUAAGCAGUACAAUGAACUGUUUGUACACAAUUAUCCCCACGUUAUUGGCCUCCAGAUGAAUAUUAUAUCAAAAUUAAUGGACGAAGGGGAAGAUAUAUAACACGAGUAACUGUCAUUCUGAAGUCUAAAUCAAAGUUUCAUUUGAUUGAUUCACUACUUUGGCUGUAUCUAGCUCUGGAAACGUGGCCUGAUCUUUUAUAAAUAGACUUCAAUCACCUUUGUACAAAUACAUACAAAACAGCCUGAAUAGGCAUGUCUCCUCUCCUAUAUCUUCAUCAAAAACAUCUCACUUGUACUUAAAACAUGAAACCUCCCACUUCAUUAUUUCUACUCCUGAAUUUCAUUUUGGUUCUAGUAGCAUUCCAUCACACAGAUUUCAGGCUAAUUAGCAGUGCUGGUAUUGCCGAAGCAAAUGAAAGAAAGAUUAAAGCUAUAUCUUCUGCGCCUUUAUUACGCCGUUUAAGUGCAGCUUAUCAGUCUGAAAAGCCAACCAGCAGCAAGAAGUUUGCUCCAUUUCAUGGUGGUGCAGAACAUGUUGUACCUGGAGGACCAGAUCCUCUUCACAACUGAUGAUUUAUAUACAUACUUCUCUAUCAUUUUACAAUAAAAAGAUUUUACUCCUAUCAGGCCAUUACAGAGAAUAUUACAGUUCUUUUAGCAUUGAAGUACUGUACUUAUCCAAUUGUAUCAUUAGUUAAAUUAGCUUGUUUGCUAGCUAUAGCUUAUUAGAACUUGUAUACUAGGAAUCUUGGAGUAGGAUAAGGCCAAAGGGUGGGUCUCUGUGGCAGUUGAAGGAUUUCAUAUUUUUUAGCUAUUAACUAAUUUUAAUUCAAAUGUUGACUUCAAUAAAUUAAGAAGAUGAUUUUAUAUAUGGAGUUAUAAGCAUUAGCAUAAUCCCAAGUCAUUAUCUUGCCAUUGUCACAGUUCAUAACAUUGGACUAAUACAGAUGAAUGAGAACACAAGUAAGCCUAGCUAGUGCCAACGUUGAUGGGAUAAUCCUAGAGUUGUUUAGUUUGUGAACAAGUUAUACUGGGAUUAUAACGUGGGAAUUAUAAUAUAAGGAUUAAAUAAUGAAAAAAAUUAUAUAGUGGAUAAUAAAUUUGGUUCUUUGAAUUAAAAUGAAAUAAGUGUUUUAGUGAAUUCCCACUCGUUUAUAUGGGGUAUAACACAAAACUGACUACAAUCAGACAAAUAAGUCAUCUCUAAUUAAGUGUAGUUUUGGUCUGGUUUUUAUUUUUGAUACUUGUAAUAGAUCAGAAAUAAUGAAAUAAUAUGAUACAAAAUCACUAAGGUAAGGGGACCCAAUAUAAGGUCAAAAUCUUGAUACAACAUGAGACUUGUGGCCACAUUGAUUAGUGUUGUGCCGUACCUGGUUUUAACAUUAGAUUAUUGAGCAGCCUGCAGGAUGAUGACAUUAUCACGUUGGCUUUUCUAAAUAGUUGACAACCAAUAUGUACUUGAUUAAUAUAAUUAUUUUUUAAUUAACGAUAUUCAACUCUCUCAAAGUCUAACUCACAAAUAAGAACUAGGAAUCCAUAUUUAUUUUUUCCAUGCCCAUUAUGCUGGUGGAUACAUGGUGUACGGCAAAGGAGAGAAGAAUUUUAUUUUCUUUAGUAGUAAUAAUAUACCGAGCAAAGACUUAUGAUGUUUCUGUUUGACAAAUGAGCUCUUAUAUUCCUAGGAGUACCUUAAGACUUGGUGCUAUCCUCAAAAAAUAUAAAUUUCUAUACCAUGAAAGUAUCAAACAUAUUAUAGCAGGUUUGGUAUCAUUUAUUUUAGAUUACCAAUUAGUGUUUAUUGAAAAUAUUUACUGACAAUAUAUAAACUUUUAAGUGAUUUAAUUGUAUAAAUAUUCUUUUGCUAAGUCAAAAUAAAUAAGAGUCAUGCAUUGCGGGUCGUUAACAAGUGGUUGGACAUGUUUGGGGUUAGGGGCAAAGGACUGUUUUUGUAAAGGUCAACUCCAAUUUCCUACAACAUUUUCUAGUUGACUUUAGCAAAGCUAACCAUUUUCGUGAGAAUCUGAAAUUCUUGUAAUAAUCAUGUGUCUGACUAAAAUUAAGAGACAGCCAAUCCCUCUAUAAAUACAUUUUGAACAUUCCAAGUUCCAGCUUGACAUAUAUAUAUAUAUAUAUCAAACUUAGAAACUCCCUUUUUGGAUCUCUUUCAGUUUCCUUUCCCUUAAGCUUACAUUAUGAUGAAGAUUCAACCAUGUUUUCUGUUGUUCAUCACUUUGAUAAUCCUUUUUGGGAAGGUCCAUAGAUGCAGAUGCAAGGAAGCAGAUCAUGAUGAUAAUGAAGAAAGAAUAAAAGUCAAGUUCUAUUCAACGUUUUUUAGGUACUUCAAAACUAUUCCUCACUAUGCACAAGGCAAAAAAUUGCACAUAGUGUCGCGAAGAUUAGUCCCUAGCGGACCAAACCCUCUUCACAAUUGACCAUGAUGUCCAAUUAGUUCCAAAUCAAUAUUUCACCAAUAAGUUCAAACAAACUCUAAAUAGAGCCAGACCUAAGGGAAGGUGCUCAGUCAAUCCAAACACCACUGUUAUCAAGCAAAAAGAAAGAGACUUCAACUGAGAUUAAGGUUUUGAAAAGGAUGUUAUUGUAAGUAUAUUAUAUGUGUUUGCAGUUUGUUGGUGCGAAGGUCUUCAAAAAUUUACUUGUAAUAAAUCAAGGAUCCUUGGUGAUGAAGAUUGGGAGUAUUAGAUAGACUAGAAAUGUAUACAAUUUUUUCUGUUACAAUAUUUUCUAUACUCAUGAUAUCAAAAUUUUCAAAAGUAGAAUCCAGGUUUUUUCCUUUCUGUAAAAUAGUAUUGUUAGACCUUUAUUACAUGAGAUUUUCUUUUUGAUAUACGAUUUAAUAUUGAAAUAUAUAACCAGUCUCGAUAACUUUGGUUAUAUGUCUGUCCGAAGUAUCUCGAAAUUCCAAUGCAUAUUCCUGAAAUUAAAUGAUUGAGAUUAGAAGCAAAGCAAGAAAAUAGCAAGGAAAGAAAGCAUAGAAUUUGUUAUUCUAUACUCAAUUAGGAUCACUCUAGGAGGAAAUGAUCUUAUAUGGCUAGUUACUAUUUGAAUAGAAGAACAUUUUUGUUUUCUCAAGUUUAGGCUCACUCAAACUUUAUGCAACCCUAAAUACUAAUGUCGUGAAUGCUUCCAAUCCUCGAGUAGAAACAAACUUUAAUUUUAUUUUACGAUCAUUGGUCGAAAGAAGAAGCAAAAAUGUUCAAAUUUACACAUCAACUAUUUGUUAUGGCUUAACUUUAUUGAUGUUUUAUACUUCAAUACCACACACACAAGAGGGAUAAUUUGUGUGAUGUCUAAUUUUUCGCGUGCACAAAUUAUAGAAUGACCUGGUUAUUCUAUGCGUUCCUUACACUACAGUUGCAGAAUAAAUAAUGCAGAAAGUAAGAACACAGAGAUUUUUACGUGAAAAAUACCCAGUUCAAAAGGUGAAAAAAUCACUACCUACUACCUAGUAGUAUUUUCCCCUAAUACUUCACUACAACUCUGAGCCAACAACAAAGUUUACAAACUCUUGCAAACCUAAGGAUUACCUCUAACCCCUGUAGCAACCAGCCACAAGCUGUUACGACUACUUCAAGUUAACUCUAACUUGAACAAUGCAACUAGAGUUUACAACCUAUUGCAAACCUAAGGAUUAACUCUAACCCUUAUAGAAACACGCCACAGGAUGUUGCGACUACUUCAAGUUAACUCUAACUUGAAAGAUACAACACAGGUACCUAGUACAAUUUGCUUCUAAGAAAACUGAAAGUUACAACUCAAAACGCCUACUACACUUUAAAUUAGAAAUAAAAAAAGACACAUAAAACUCUUUAUGGAGCUGGUUCUUCAAUCUUGUUCGUAUAGCUUCAGGAUCGCACUCUUAAAUCUCGCAGGAAUUAAUGCUUUGAUUCGUGCUUAACUUAAGUAUGUGUGCAUCACCUGUAAAAGAGAACAAAGGUGUUAUUUAUAAAGUUAGUACAAUAAGGAUUAACUAGAAGUCUAAUGCUUUACUCUUACUUGGUGGAAGAGUUCUAGUUAUCUUCAACUUGUAACUCUUUUAUUAUCUUGGAUAGAGUUCUUUUCAAGUAAGGAGCCAUGCUCCUUAUCAAAUAUGCAACAUUUCGUUCAGGAUUAUCAUAAAUAACCACUUAUACUUAUCUCUGUGCUAGCCUUUUGCUUGAUCCUGCCCGUCACCUGUAUACACUGUUCAUGGACCUGGUUCAUGCAUGUAUCAUUUGUCAAUCAUAAAAACCAAAACCGCGCUCAUGUCAACAUUGAUGAUUCAUUAUUUUUGAGCUCACUAUUGGUAAAGGAGGACUUUCAGGGAGGGAAGAGAGAAGGGAAAAAAGAGAGCGAAGGGAAUUAUUGGGGCCACUAUGUGUGAAGGAGGACUUUGAAAGCGUGUACGUACAAGUGAAAGUCAAUGUGGCUAAAAGAAUAGCAUAAGGAAAUUAAAUGGUCUAGGUAGAGGUCAGUUAAUAAAGAAGGACAAAUAUGAUACAAAAUGAUAUUGACGAGACUAUUUUAGUUGACCAAUCUAAAGAUUUCAAUUGUCGAUUUUGUAGAACUGUUGUUUCGACUCAUUUUUGAAGGCUAAGACAAAUAUCGGGAGAAUGAAGUAACAAAAGCAAACAUGAGGAAUGGAUGUAGAAAGCAACAUUAUAUCAAGUAGGCAUUGGACAAUUUUUGGUUGGAUUUGUAAAAGAAAGAAAGAACUUUUAAAGUUGAAGUCUAGUAAUAAUAUUUGAAAGUUAAAAUUUUGUUAAACAUGAACUUUAUUUGAAAAAGAGUUUGUGAGUAAUUUGUCAGUGAAUUAAUGAUUUCAUCUAAAGUCAUUAAACUAAUAUUUCAAAUACUACUAUUUGAUGCCACACAAAUUCAAGCCCUAGGUGAAGGUGUGACUACUCUGUUUGGAUGGUCAAAUAUUGUGCAUUCAUAGCCAAGCUGGCCCAGUUUGUGCCCCAGUCCCCACUAACGGAGGACGAACUAACAACAGGAAAAUACAAGAAAAGAAACUAUAGGAAAAUAGAGCUCCAUUGCACGCACUGUUAAAGUUGGAGUUUGAAUUUGAAAUUUAUGAAAAUUUUUUAAACAAAUAAAUUCUAAAUUAAUAAUUUAUUAUAUUAAAUAAUUUUUUAAAACAAAUAAAAUUUAAAUUUAAGCUAUUGAGUUUGAUUGAACAAGUGCUUCAAAUUAGCUCUGCCCACUCAUAGCGGAGAAAAAGAGUAGGCCUACUUGGCUGUUGCUCAAACUACCCUCUUCAGAUUAGUGGCACGCAAAAAUAUAAAAUUUUUAAUUGUUCUUUUAAUUUAAUUCUAAUGGGACCCAUUUAUGCUACUUUGGAUGAUUCUAGACGAGCUUGGACUUUGGCGUAUAGCAGCCUAAUGUACUACAUUUAUGUCCAUGCUUUAGCCCCGGUUGCUGAAAUGCACGCAUUUUCAUUUAUACUAACUUUUGCGGCUAUCGUUAAAAUUAUAUCUUAAUGUACAAAAUUUUAUAAAGAAUAUCUGUUCGAAUCUGAAAUAGUUCAAUCUUUUCAAUACAACUUUAGAAAUCAAAUCUGAAGUUCUUCUAUGUUUUAAAUGCAACUUCAAAAAUUCAAAUAUUAAGUAGUUCAAUCUAUUGAAUGCAACUUCAGAUUUCGAAUCUUAAGUUCUGAAACAUAAACUUGUUUUUCGAAUUUCAACAAUCCAAUAUACGAUUCAAUGUCCAAAUCUACUCCAAAUGAACUCAAAUUUGAAACAUAACUUUCAAAUAUCAUAAAGAACAAAUCUCAGUCAUCAAAAUGUCAAAACAACAACAAAUUUAACAAACUCAUUUUACAACUAAGAAGAACAAGAAAUUCUAAGCGUAAAUAAGAAGAAAAGGAAAAUAUAUGUGUCUGAAGUUAUUCAAAAAUUGAAUAUCAAUUAAACUUUUUUUGAAAAAUAAGUACAAAUUUAAUGGAUGAUGCAAAACUGAACUACACAUGAAAAUUUUACAUGCUAAAGAGUGUCAAUAUUGUAUAGGUCAAAAUUCGCCUAAGGGCACUCACGCGAAGAGUAAUUUGGUCGAGGUCGACUAGUAACUAAUGAGACUCAUCGUCGAACAACCAAUUAUGGCUGAGGUCAAGAAUUAGAAGGAGCAGUAACGGCUAGUUUAGUAAUAGGAUCUUUAAGAGAAUAUUUUGUUGAAUAUUCUUUAUACUUGUGCUUUUAGGGUUAAUUGGGGGAAUGCCCCUAUAAAUAGAAAGAGAGACUCCGUGAUUAAGGAGGGGAAAAAGCAGACUAUCUCUGGAUAAAUACAAACACUUCUUUUAAAAAUACAUUGAAUGUUUGAUAACUCUAGAUCUUUUCCAUCAUAUCCAAGAUUGAUCCCGAUAUUCUUGCAUUUGUCGAUCAUUGACCAUUGUCAGAAGGAUGAAUUAUUCACCUCAUUCAAUGUUGAAUGAAUCAUUCUCCUUAUUUAUUUUAGUGUCAUUUGUUGUGAUUGAAUGAUUGAUGUUCCUAUUCCAUUAUUAAUAUCAAAAUAUUAAAUACAUACCACAUUUAGCUCUUUUUCAACGUUGUUCAAACAUCAUCCACCUAGAUCAAUUAUAGAUCAGAAGUCAUUAUUACUAAAUAGGUUUAACCUCUCGUCACAUAAAUUUAAUUAGUCUUGCCAAAAUUUAUGAUUAGACUAUCAUAUAUUUUUUGGUUAAACAAAUAUCACUAUUUAACAACUCAAUCUUUGAUUAAUUAAUUUUUAUAUUUUAUUUUACUAUCAAUAGUAUGUAAUUGUUUUAACAUUUAAUAUCCAAAUCACAUGGAAAGAUGUACUCUAAUUUCUUUUCUAUUAUCCCUUUUCCUUUUUUGGGUAAAGACAAGCCAGUGAAUAGUAAAGAAGGUAAACGAAUGAGACUUGGCUUUUGACGAAAUCAGAACCAUGCCCCUAAUUCGUUCAAAAAUAAAUUGGGUCCAUUAAACUUGGAUCUCCAUUUUACUUCGUUUUGCUCUUUGAUACUAUACUUUUUUUCUGGAGAUUUUUACAGGCUUAAUCCUUUUUUGAUUAUUAUUUAAAAAAAUAGAAUCAUUUCUUUUUUAUUCCAUAAAGAUUUUUUUUUUUUUUUUUUUUUUUACAUAUUAGCAUAUUACAAAAUGUAUGCUUAACAUUUAAUGAAUGCACUAAUCACUCUUUCUUGACCUUUUCUUUUUGAAUAACUCCAUGCAUUUCAGCUAAACAUGGCAAUAGAAAAGCAAUUUUUAUCUCUUUUAGGUGGAGAUAGACUCCUUCAGAGUAGUCAUUCCGUGGAUCGUAUAUACCCACAAUAAGAGAUGAUUCACUCAAUUAAUUUGUAUCGCAUAUGAAUCAUCCAUGAUACUACAAUUAUAAUAAUUACUAUCCCAUGUAUAAUAUUGAAAAUUAAGUUACACAAAAAACACAACUAAAAGGCAUGAAACAUCAAUAACAUUAUUAUACUAGCAUAAUACCAUACAUCAUCAUUAUAUCACAAUCAUACCAUACAUCUAAUUUGCAAAUAUCUUACAUAAUAAUACAUAUGAAAUAUUAAAAUACCAUUAUUAUACUACAAUUAUAUGAUAUACAAGAGCUCCAAUUUAUAUUAUAUGGUUAAUAAUUAAAAAUACAAAUUAUAUUCAUAUUUGAAAUAUUUAUUGGUAUUUGAAUGAUACCGUCAUUAAUACACAGUUACAUAUUCAAAAUACAUACAUAAAAUAUAUAUAUGGCAUAUAUUUAAAUUCUUGAAAAACAUUGAUAGUUUCAGUUGAAAAAAUACUACAAAUAAAUCAUUAUUAUACCUAUCAAAUAUCUUUUUCAUUUAGUUAUACAUAUCUUAAAAGUGGGCUUAAAAUAUCUAUUUUUCACUAUUUAACUAAUGUCCUGGUAAUGCUACGAGUACUAUAAUAAAAGGCAAGAUAUUAAUUCAUAAAAGAAAAUAUAUAACAAAGUAAUGAAGACCGAAAAUGCAUACAAUUAGGUAUCAAAUAAGCAUGAAUCUCGCCCACGAGAGAGUUAAGCUGCUAUGAUAUAUAAAUAUUUUAAUGCCAUAAAUGAUAAUUAAGUUAUGUUGCUAUGUUUUAGUAAAAUUUAUUUAAAUGUUGCCUAGUUAUGUUUUUUCCCCUUUUUUCUUUGUGGUCUUUUUUCUAUUUUUGAAUUAAAUACUAAAUACACCCUAAAGCCACACAUCCAAUUAGGAUCACGAGUCUGAAGACUGAAAUUUCCAUCCACCAUCCGCUGACUCCGACAGCCGCGUUAAUGGAGCAAGAAAAGGCCAAAUAAUAGAAAACUAAAAAAGAUAAAAUGUAGAACAUGGAAAUUACACCUACCAGUAACUUUUGAGUUUUUUUUUUCAUUGUCCGACUGCCACUUGCACAUUUGAGGUGUCAAAAAAAUUAAAGAGAGGAGAGAACAGACUAUUAGCAGUAAAACCAAAACAAAGAAAAAGGAGUAGAAAGAUAGGAUUAAAGAAUCAUCGUAAAGAACGUUUGGUUUGCCUCGAAUUGCAAGUUUUGAAACCGAACAAAGUUUGGCAAACACGUGGUUGUGCAAUGCUAUUUGUCCGAUUCUCCAUCCCCUAACCCCAACCCCACCUCCCUCCCCCAUUAUGUCCCCAUUUCCUCUACUCAUCACUUUAUACUCUGUUUGAGUCAAAGAAAGAGUAGACAUGACACAUAGUGGAGUCCUGCAGCCUUCACUCUAGCCAUAUUCACACUUUCCAAAAGGGGUUGGAGGGUUCUUGACUUUUCAUAACAAGUAAAAAAGAAGGCAUCUUUAUUUUGUUUUGUUUUGUUUUCUUUUGUUGUUGGGGUUCUACUUGGAGAUUGAAUUAAAAUUAGUUGGGUAAGUGGUUAAUUUAGGUGGGAUUGUGAGAUGGGAAAGAAAAGGUCUUUGCCUGAUUGGCUUCCUGCUGGAUGGAAGGUGGAAUUCAGAAAAGGAAAGAAAGAGAAGGUGCUUUCUUGCUCAUUGCUCUUGCUUAAUCUUCCAUUUUGUUUUUUGUUUUUUUGAAAAAAAUUCUUGUUUAUUUUGCUUUUGGCUAAUAAAAAUUGAUUCUUUGUUUGAUUCUUUUUUGAUUUCUGAUCUUCCUGCUUCAACUGUAAUUUCUGUUGUUCUUGGCCUAAUCUGUAUUGUUUUGGGCACAAAACCACAACUUUGCUUCACCUAACUAUUUCAGUAACAAAGGGCUAUUACUUUGUGUCUUCUCCUUGUUGCAUGACUUGGCAAGAUUGAUGCAUGCUUUAUCUUUAUAGACAAAAUAGGCAAAAUAAUUGAACUUUGUUACAUGCAAGCUGAUUGGGACACUAAAACCAGUAAAAAAGAAAGAAAGAAAAAUAACAGGACAAUUUGUGCGAGUUAAUCUUCUUGCUUUAACAAGGUUUAACUGAAGAGGUGCUAGUUUGCUUAUGGCUGAAGUAUGUAAAGCAUUCAAAUUUUGCUUGCAUGCCAAAUAAGGACUGUUACAAGUAUGCCAGCGUGUAAAAAGGCAAAGCAUUUGUUGAACCUUGUAAAGCCUUGGACAGUACAGAUAUAUGAAUGGCCUAGUUCUAGUGAUUGGUUCAACUUCGGUAUAUAAGCCUCUUAUGCAUCAUUUUUCACUUCUGGGCAGCGACACAUCAUAUACCAAAUUGUCUCUGUCAAGACUUUCUUUAAAUCAAUUUUUAUUUUUGUGGGGAGCGAUUGCUGGGGUGGUCUUAUGGAGUCAUGGUAGUGUGAUAUGUCAGCCAUUGCAUGUCAAGUUUAAGGAGGAGCCAUUUUGAUUUGGUCCCCAGCUAUUGUCUCCUCUAUAUCAAGGAUUAAAUUCCCUUGGUUAGAUUAUGUAAUGGAUUGAAUGAUCUUAGCUUUUUGUUAAGAAGCAUCGUGUCUUGUCCUUGGUGUGAUGCUAAUGGUUCGCACGUUUGAUGCCUUUGUUUUUUUCUUUUAUUCUUGUUUUCCUUAUUCCCUGUCUAUGAAUCUUUCAAAAUUAUUUCAGCCCCUAAAAUUGAUCAUAUAUUGGAACAUUACUCGGCAACUAGAUCAGAUACACUGCUGCUAUUCAAAUUGUAGCAAGCUAUAGUUUUUAUAUUCUUUUUUCCGAAAACGAGUCUCCUAGCAUCUUAAUCCCCUAAUCCUUUGAUUUUCUUAAACCAUCCACUACACUGAUAUUACUGUGAAUCUAAGCUUUUGUCUCUUACAUUGAUGCAUAUUUUGGGACGUUUGAUUUGGGUGACCUGCUAUUUUCUUCUUAGAUGAUAGGCUGCUUAUUGUGCUUUUGGUGUUUUAGAAGUAGGGAGGUGUAAGUGAAUCUGCAUUCGAUUUUGUUUAAUGAGGAGAAAAUUCUAGAUUCUUUAAUAGUGUGUGGCAGAGAGUCAGGUCAGUUGCAAAAUCUGCUAUCUUACAACCCAAACUAUAGAGCAAUUUUGAAAGAUUCUACACCUUCAAAUACAUUUCCCGAUCUCAUAUCACUCUAACCACUUCAUCUUAGCCUUAUUAGGACCAUUUUACCUUUGCCAAAAUGGACAAACUACAUAAUGCAUUUUUUGUUUUUAAUAGCUAAUACUAAGUCUGGAAUAUUUGCUGGCAUGAGAUGCCAUUAUAAAUUCUCUUUUCCAGAAAAAAGUGAAUGUAAUGGAUGGAUUAUGUUUCUUCUUUAAGAAGUUAUGUAGUUCUAUAACAGUCCUACCCCUCAUAUCCAUGCCAACCUAGUUCUCACGCCACCAAUUGCAGUNNNNNNNNNNNNNNNNNNNNNNNNNACCUUGCUCUUGGGGUGACUCGAACUCACAACCUCUUAGUUGGAAGUGGAGGGUGCUUUCGACUAGAGCUACCCACUCAUGUCGACACUCAGUAUAAAGUAUCACACAUUUACCUCUUGAAAGUCCUGUGAGGGCUUCAUUGGUUCUAACUUGACGAAGUGGGAUGUAUAAAUUGCUAAUGGCAGUUCCUGAAAUUUUGAGUCAUAAAGUUUCUUUUCUCUCCCACCUUGAAUCCAUGCACAUUUACGAAUGGAAAAGUGAAAACAAUAAUAUUGUUAUUCCUCUCCUUUUUGCUGAUUCUUAACCAGUAAACAUGCAUUCUGUAUAUCUGAGUGUAUCUAUUGUGUUUAUUGCAGUGGUAUAGCGAUCCCUCAAAAGGACUCAAAUUCUGCUCUAAGGCGGACGUUCUUCACUAUCUCAGCAGUGUUGGCAGUAACUGUUUUAAGAGUUCUAGUACGAAGGAGAUAGAGAAGAAAGACACUGGAAAGGUCUCGUUGGUUAAUAUAUAUUUUCUACCAUGAUAGUGCAACCUUCUUUUCCCUUUCUUGCGGGGUAACCUCCUUUAUAUGAAGUUCUCUCCUUUGGUUUUGCCCCUUACAGUUUUUUUUUCUUUUUCAAUGAUAUAGGUUGUAACUGAGAAGGCUACAUCAGAAGGGUUACCACCAGGAUGGAUUAAGGAAGUGAGGGUCAGGAGAAAGGGGCACAAAAUCAAGAAAGAUCCGGUACUAACUCCCUUUUUAUUUUCAUAUUUCAAUAUCUACCAGCUCAGCAAUUACUGGAAAUGCAAAUCCUUAACCUCUAUUUUAAAUUCAAAUAUUCUGCUUCGCGUAUCGAUUCCAAUUGCAUUCUACUUGGAGUAUGUAGUAAUGUAAUUAGUGAAUUACCUUUGCAGUAUUAUACUGACCCUGUCAGUGGACACACUUUCCGCUCUAUGAAGGAAGUUUCUCGGUUCCUUGAAACUAGAGAGUCAGGAAGAUUUGAAUCCAAGUCCAGGGAUCAGUGUCCUGGCACUUCAGAACUGGGAGAACCUUUUUCAACUGUAAGUGAGAAUGUUUUUCGCAUGUUAGUUUUCAUUUACUGGUAUUAUCCUUUAUGGUAGUUAAAAGAUCAUAGGUUUUCAUAAGCUAGUUAUAAUACAAGACCUCCUGUUUACAAUGGUUUAUGGAGGUAAAUAGUAAUUAUCUGAAGAAAUGUGGUGUCAAAGAAAAUUAAAUUGUAUGAUGACAUUACACCUCAAAUUACUGGAAUUUAGACAAGUAGUAAGUUGCAGAUCUUGAUAUCUAUGUUUGUGGAAGUGGUGAUACUUCUAUUUUUUCACCGACAUGCCCUUAGAAAAGAGUCCAGUUCAUAUCCUACAAGCUUUAUUUAGACAUCCGUAAACAAACUGAUUACACCUCACUCUAAGAAACUUUGUGAGGUUCUGGAUAUUAUCUGAUCUAACUUUGAGAGGAGAAAACUCUUAAAAAAGAUCAUUCUUUCCGUUGUCUUUUUGUCAUGAUAAACGUUUGUUGGUGAUUUCAGAUCUGUAGCAUGUUCUGGUCUCCAUUUUCUUUGUAAAAAUAGCAGAGGAGGUCAGACUCUUAAUACAGUGCAUUCUUCAUCAAAUAAAAAAACUUCACAACCUCCCUAUCUUAUUAUAAUCAUUUGAAACUGUUGAUUACCACUGCAAACAGGACACCCUCCUCACACAUAAAACUCGUGAGCAAGAUAUUAAAACCACUAGCAAUGCUUCAAAUUCUCUAUGGUAAUUCUUCACGAUCUAAUCUUUUUGUUUGUUUCUGGUAUUUAGUUGACUGCUGAAGCUGACAAGCAUACAUCGCUAGACAGCGAUGCAUCUGGCAAGGAAGUUAAUUCGAAUCAGAAGCUGAAGUUGGGUGCUGAACAUAUGGGGCAUUCCAGUUGUGUAGUAGGCAGUAUAUCAUCCUUUGAAGGUAUUACUCACUAUUGGAAAGUUCUAGUGUUUCAGUUUGAUAUGAAGUAUUUAAUGCUUUAUUUAUGCCCUUAUGUCAUCUAUUUAUUGCAAGUUUCCUUCCAUUCCUCUCUUACAAAUUUCCUCAUGAAUUCAAGAACUAGUUUACUGCUGUAAUUCUUGGGGGAAAAGCUUUUAAUAUGAGAACUUCUUUUGAUACUGCAAAUCUUUAGAAUCUUCAAAAGAUUUCAUUUCAUGUCACAAAAUUCAAAUACAGGCACUCUUUUAAAGAAAAAAGAAAACUUCGUUUAGGCAUGUCACGUGUUUUUUAGUAGUUUAUCAAAAUGAAUGUAUUUAAUUUGGAAAUGAGAAAUAUUUCAGGUUUAGGAGGUGGUGUACCAGAGAACGCGGAUGAGGAGGAUGAUGGUAAAGUUGUUUCAGAUCCCGUAAGUGGACAAGAACAAGAAAAGGAGAAUGAUGGUAAAUUUGUUUCAAAUCCUGUAAGUGGAGAAAAUCAAGAAAAGCCAUCACGAGAUGUUGUGGAAAAGCAUGACCAGAAAACAAUCCCGCGUAAACGAAAAAAGGGUAUGAACUUGCCUCGCAGAAAAUCAAAACGGCUUGCUGGUAUUAAAGCUGAUACAUCUCUUCAGCUCCGAACAAAUAAUCAAGCCCAUCUAGCUACAGUAAGACAGGAGGAGGAGACACAAGCUGCCAUCACUGAUAACCCUGUGAAUUUUAUUGAUACCAGUAAGCAUGUUGCAACGGCAUUAACCGGUAUUACCAUCAAUAAGAAGAUAGAAAUUGGGAGUGUGACCAGCAAAGGGCAACAAGACAUUGUUACUUUACCACUAAAGGAGCGAGAACUACCUUCUCCAGCCGAACCUGCAAAAACUAACCUUGGUAGCUGCAAAGGUGAUAAGAAAGGUGAAACAGCUCUCGAGUCAUCUUUAAGUGACAUUUGGACGGAUCCAUGCAUAGAAUUUGCAAUAAAAACUCUAACUGGCACAAUUCCGGUCAUAAAUGAAAAGAAAGUGGAUAAGAUCCCAGGUUCUAGUCCGAGCAUGUCUUCUGUUAAUACUCCUUGCACUGUGGGUUUACCUUCUGAUGAAAUAUGGGCAGAUCCUUGCUUCAUGUUCGCGGUCAAGACUCUUACUGGUGAAAUACCAAUAGGGGACGAAUUAUGCUCUCAGAAGAUAGUACAGCAGCAAUUCACUUCAUCACAGUUCCAAGGAAAUAAUGGCUUAGUAUUACCAAACAUUAGAUUUGAAGAGUUUGGCAAGGCCAAUCUUUCACAUAUGGGGGCACCUGAAAAGGCUUUGUACAAGCAACAGCCUGCAGUAGCAGCCCCCAACGCAUAUCAAAAUUGUUGGUUUACAAAAUUUGGUCCUCGUCGGCCUUCACCACUUUGCUGAAAUAGACUAUUAUAGAUUGUAACUUUAGGAAGUUCAACCUAGCUUGUAGUAGUGUUGUAAUUUGUAACACAGUGCAUAAGUCUGUGAACUCAAAAUUUUAAGGCAGCUAGAGCUGCAGUAAAAACUAUGUAAAAAAAUUAUUCACGGCCGGAGUGCCUGUUUCCUGUGUAUUUUUCUUGAUUGGGAACACUUGUCGCUAGUUCGAGUAGCAGCUGUUUUCGCCCAUUUUCACUAAAAGCUAAAACAACUGUUUAAGUAUUUUCUGAAGGGAAUCCAUAUCCUUGUGCCUCAAAAUUUUUGGUCAAGGAUGCAUGUGCUUUGAUAUAUCCAAAUAACUUCAUAUCAAGAACUGUACCGAAAAGGCAACUUUAGUUGGAGAAUGGCAACUGAACUAAGUACUAGUUAAGUAGUAAAUGAAUCAAGCUAUUCACAUAUAUAGUUUAACUUUAUUACUUGAUCGAGUUUCUUCACUAUUUUUACAGCUUGUAUUGUAUGAGCUAAAAUUGAUGAAGAGUUCCUCUGUCCAAAUUGUUUAAUAUAACUUCGGUUACAAAAAUGGAAAUUAAUUAAUUUUAAGUCUAUUAAUUAACUUUAUCUUUGAAAACCAUGUGAAAAUUAUUACUAACUCCAUACUUCAACACAGUAAUACUAGUACCAAACGCUAAGUGAUGGUCACAGGUAAAGGUGAGGAAUUUUCAAUUUUCCAAUUCUUAUGUAGCCUCUAACAAUAAUUAUUACUACUAACUCCAUACUUCAACAUAAUAAAAGCACCAAACGGCAAGUGAAGGUCACAGGAAAAUAUGGUAGUUUUCCAAUUUUUAUGUAGUCUCUAAGUUUACUUCUAGUUACGCUAUCAAGUCGUUUUAAUAAUAAUUAGAAGUAAUUACCCGUAGUUUUGUCAAAAAAGGUAAUUUAAUUACUCAUAAGACAUGGAGUAGUAAUUAACUUUCUUAAGCAUGUUGAAUUGAAAUUGAUUGUCUAAAAAAUCAUUUUACGUGUCCGUCGCUAUAAGAUAAGUCCAAACUUAAUUUAUCCAUCGGCUCGCCUUGUUUAUUCUUUCUUUCUUUUGCAAAUAUCUUAAGCAGAUUUAUUUUUAUUUGUUCGUUCAAGUCCAUUAAACCACUUUGCCUGAGCCAUCUUUCUGCGGCAGGCUUCUUCCCGUCUCUUUCUCCGACGACAUCGAACUGUAUGUUUCUCUCUCCUUUCCUCUUCCUCCAGAAUCUCUCGUAUGCAUUCUUUCGUAGGAAAAAGAAAACCUAAUCCAGAAGUGUAAAUUUGGUUGCAAUUUGUUGUAUCUGUUCUACUUCAUGAAGAAAAUCCUUGUCUGCGAUCUUUUUUUUUUCAUUUAUGAGUUAAUCUGCGUUUUUACCAAAAAUUAUGAUGUUUAUUUUGCCUUCUAGGAUUAAUGAUCAUUUUUUUCUGAAAUAUUUUCGGAAAAAAGGCUAAGAGAAAAUAUGUCAAGAUAAUUUCCUGUUCUUAGGUUAGACUCAUAUAUCUUAAAUCAUUUACUGAAAGUGUCCUAAUUAAUCAAACAAGUGAAUGAUUAAUUUGUGUUUAUGAUUAUCUCAUAUCUUAGCAUGUUUGUAUAUAAUAUAAUGGUGCUUGGCAUCCCUACACCUUCCAAAUGAAAAAUACAUAGUAAAAACUACUAUCUGUUAUCUAUGAAACAACUAGCAAUUUGUGCCACGGGGCUUUAGUCUAUUGGUAAGAGCACAACACGUGCUGUGUGGGUUUGGCGCAUGUUACAUGUUUGAACCCUGCUAUAGAAAAGCUUGGUAUUUACUUGGAGAAGGAUAGAGGGGCGGGCUCAUUAUCCAUCGAAUUUCGAUCUGGGCGCACUGGUCCUCGGACAUUUUUCGGUUAUAAAAAAUCUGGAGCAAUUUUUCGAGGGGGAGGGGGAGGGGGAGUCAAAAUGGAUAGUAAAUGUUGGUAAAAAAGUAGAACAUUCUCAAAGGUCAUUUUUGAACCAAUAUGAGUACCUUUUUUUUUAAUUCAAAUGCUUGACGAAUGCUUUUCUCUUUUGUUGGUUCAGGGUAAUCAAUUUGACUGCAACUCCUUGAAGGAUUGGGUCACCUUGGGAAAAUGAAGUAAUGUCUUUUCUUGUUAUGUAAAUUCUUUUUCUGAUACAUCUUGCAUUCACUUAAAAUUUCAAUUCUGGUGCUAAUGAAUGUCAUGUAGACGAGAUGGAGAAAAGAAAUACUGUACAGAUAUUACUUUCCUAUAAGUAGCCUGCAGUAGACUGAAUGUGCUCUUUAGCCCCAAAGCCUAUGUGUUCAUGCUUGUUCCUGUAUCUUCCCUAGCGUGUUUAAUACAUUGAGAGAAUUAUUGCAAGCACAUUUAUUUUUGGGGUAUGGGGUGACACUAAAUGUUGCGUUUGCAUCAUGAUUUUAGUAGUUGUUUGACCUGUUCUUUUUGAAAAAACUGAGCUUAUUUGUUUGCUUGCAUUAGUAUUGUUAGUAACGGAAAUUUAAUUGCUUUGAACAUUUUGUCGUGGUGUAGAAGGGGAGCACAUGUAAAGUGGGAUGAGGCAAAUUUGGGAGAAAUUGAGGCAAAUAAACCAGUGAGGCAGAAAAUAACUGAACCAAAGACACCAUAUCACCGCAUGAUCGAUGUUGAUGGUAUGUUCGUGAAAUGAAUUCUUCUUUUCCUUCGUGCCCGUUUAUCUCACUUGUCAAUUUUCUGUGUCAUGCAAGUUUCAUAGAUAGAUCAAAUAAUGUGGUGGCGUGUUGUCUUCCUGCUUUUCACAUGCCAAUCAGUCUUUUUGAAAAACUUUUGAUGCUUGAUAGGUUUAUAGAUAGAUGAAAAACGAUUAGUAAGAAUUAGUAAUGCUGAAUAGGGUGUAUUUUUUAGUAAUAUAGAGUGUAAUGUUGAAUAGUAAUGUAGAAUGUAGGGUGAAUUAGUAAUGCUGAAUAGGGGUCGUUUGGUAGAUUGUAUAAGAAUAAUGCCGAAUAAGGUGUAUUAGUAAUGUUGGUAUUAGUUAUGCUUGCAUUAGUUAUGCUUACAUAUUUCUUAUCCAUUGUUUGGUUUGAUGUAUUAAAGCAUUGCACAAUUUCUAAAAGAAUUGCUUGUUUACAAAAAUACCCUCAUGACCAGUCCAUCACUUUAUCUUUUUAAAAGAAACAUAUGUUGAUGAAUGUUUUUAUAUGAAAAAGGUUUUAAAAGAUAUUUGAUUUGUCUACCUAUAUUGUAGUAUAGAACUUAAUAUUUAUUUAUAAAAAAAGAAAAUAGGCUAAGUAUUUAUUUAUUUACUAGGGAUAUAAUUUUAUUUCUCACUUUCUUGGAUUAUUUCAAACUUGCAUUAAUAUAAUAGCAUAUUUUAAUCAAGCAUAAAUUUUGUUUGACAAUUUUGCCUUUAACUAAGUUAAUGCAUGCAUUAAAACCCAUUGCAUUGUUAAUACCAUGCUUUCUUAUGCAUUAGUUAUGCACAGGAUACUACCAAAUAGGGUGUAUAACUAAUGCAUAUGUUCAAAAAGUGUACCAAACAAAAUAUUACUAAUACACAAAGCUAAUGCAUGUAUUAUUUUACCUAAUGCAUCCUACCAAACGACCCCUUAGUGUAUUGACCUGGUUUUAUGCAAUUGGUAGUCUUCUUUUUCUAUCUUUUCCCAGAUGAUUUAUGCACUCACUGAUCUUCUUUUUCCCCCUUUUGAUUACCAAACGACCCCUUAGUGUAUUGACCUGGUUUUAUGCAAUUGGUAGUCUUCUUUUUCUAUCUUUUCCCAGAUGAUUUAUGCACUCACUGAUCUUCUUUUUCCCCCUUUUGAUUAGCUUCCAUGAGAGUGAUGGUUUGGGAGGAAAUAUUUUAAGAUUUGAACUUAUUUGGAUCAUUUGGCAGUAGUUUAUACUGUGGUGCUUAUACUCUUUGAGUGAAUUUUAUUCAUGCUACUGAUGCAUCUUGUAUCUCUGUUGUUUAAUUUGCUUUUUGUGGAUAUUUAGGUCAGUUUGAUUGUAUAUUUUUUACAAAUUCCAAAUCCCAAAGUUGAUGUGUAGUCUUCUCAGUAUCCCUACACCAUUGAAGUUUCUCAUGUGGUGCUAAACCUCCUAUAAUGUGUUGGUGGUCGAAUAUUAGAGCUAAUACCAUUAUGUUUUGGUACUUGGAGCUUCAGGAUCUGCUUCUAAUAAUGGCGUGAUGUUUGUUACAUCAUUAUGUAUGGGAAAACCGGGAUUUCCAAAAAGUACAAAAAUUUCAUUAAAAUUUGAUCAUAAGAGAUUUCCACCACUUCAUCGAACACAUACAUAUUCUGGUAUUUUUUCCUUUAUUAGAGCCUAAUCCUCGUUAGUUUGCUACAGUUUCUUACCUGCCAUUAAGAGAAUUAAUUGACACUAUUAGGGACAUUUCGUAAUUUUAUUUUCUCUUUGAUUCUUUCCAAUCCAUUCUUUUGCAUUUGCAAGGGUCUCAUAUGCAAUGGCUAGGUAAAACAUGAUGUAGUUACUCUAUGUAAUUGAGUUUACUGUGCUGAUAGUUUUUUUUGCUUUUUUAUACAAGCAAGAUUAAUUGGUCUAUUUAUUUGAAAAGAAUAUGAAAUUAAGAGCCCGUUUGGACAUAAGAAAUUUUUUCCUUUUUUCCAAAAAAAAAUUAUUAUUUUUCGAAAUCAACGNNNNNNNNNNNNNNNNNNNNNNNNNCUUCAAAAACAACCCAAAAUUAUAUUCAUGUCCAAAAACAAAUCUAAAUUUCAAAUACCAUUUUCACUUGAAAUUUUUAUUUCCCCCUAUUUUGGAAUUUUACAAUUCUUAUGUCCAAACGCCCACUAAAUUUCUUAUGCAAAAACGUGGGUAAAUGAAUCUGUUUGUAUAUAUCCAGCCCAACUUGUUUGGUAUUGAGGCUUAAUUACAUAGUAUGUAACUAUGUAUGCAAUUUGAAAGCUUUAGGAUUUUUGGUCUUGCUGUGCACGGUUGUAUUUGGAAUGAGACUUUCGUCCUACUCAUAAGAUGUUAGAUUUGGUCUCGCCAUGUUCAUGGUGUAAGGUUUCAGGAUUCCAGGAUAUGGGCCUAGUGGGAGUAAAUUCCGACAUGUAUGUUCCUUGGGGAAGAUUUAGGCAGCCCUUUGCUCACCCUGCCCAAACUAUUAAAAAAUCAAUAUUUUAACCUACAAACUUAUAAAAAGCAUUAAAAUCCUGCAAAAAAUAAGCGUUCUCCUUCCCAAUUUCUAACAGAUUUUACAUUAGUAUGUAUUCUGUGUGAGGGGUGACAAAAUGGUUAAAAGAACACACUUAACCACCCAUAUUAUCCACUAAAAAAUGGGUUGGAUAAUGAACUUUUUAAUAACGGGUCAAAUAUGGAUAAGAACCAUAUUAUCCAUUUAGAAAAUGGAUAACUAAUGAGUUUAACUUUUAUAUUUGUAAAGUUUCAAAUUGAGGGUUCCUCAAGUUCGGAAGACUAGGAAUUUUCCCAAAAGUGUUCAUAUUCAAGAAGUCAUGGAUAAUAUGGUUCUCAUAUUAUCCGUCGGUUAACCCGUUUUUUAUUCGUAUUAAAUAUGUGUUGGGUCGGAUAAUUUGUCCGGUUUUUCAUUACCCAUUUCGACCCGAACCAUAUCCAACCCGACCCGCCCGUUUGCCACUCCUAUGUAUGGCUAGUCUCCUCCUUACAAGUCUUGUGUCCACUGCAUGAACUCAGGUAGAAUAUUUGACGAGUAUGGAUUCAAUGCAGCUAUGUUGUUUUUUAUCUUGAAGGAUCCUUCAUGCUUGCAAGAAAGCAUGAAGAUUCCAUGUAAUGUGGCUAAUAGAUGAUCUUAUCAAACAAAAAAAUGUGGCUAAUAGAUGAUGUACUUUAGUGCUCCUGCUUUUUGGUGAACAAUCAUUUUUCAUCUGUAUUUGGAGAGAAAUAUUUAUGUCUCAAUAAACUGAUAGCUAAUAUUGCUUAAAUCUCCGUAUCAUAAAAAUAUUGCUUAAAUCUUUUUACUUCAUCAAAAAAAAAAAUGCUUAAAUCUGUGCAAGUUUAUUUGUCGUCCUCACUUUUGCUGACUUUGUUGAUGUUGUAGGAUCUUUAUCUCCUAUACGGGGUAGUUUUGAGGAAGGCAAUGGUGAUGCAGUACAUGCAGAAGCUAUACGCAGUGCAUUGAAUGAGGUGGCUUCUUCCAGUAAGAAUAAAUCCCAACGGUCUGGCUGGACAUCAUCUGAGGAUGAAGCUGAUGUCAUGGACCAAGAUGAUGCAGGUUUAAUUUGAUCUGUCUGUGUACAAACCCAUUUUCUUCUCUUUUUUCCUUUCCUUUUGAUUUGAUGAGUGGGGGUUGGAUUGGAUGAGAGGCAGGGAGAGGUGGUCAUUGACUUCUGAGUUUUACCCUUAUCCAUACAUUAAUUGAUCAACUGAGGCCUUUUAAACGAUCGAUUCCUCCACACACACACGCAACCUCCCGGCCCACCCCGGUUUAUUUCCUUUCUUUUCUCAGGUGUAUUGUGUACUGGUAGUUUUGUUGCAAUUGGUUCAUGAUUUAUAUUGAAUGCAAACCCUAUUUAUAAUUUUUCUGUGAUGUAACAGAUUCUGGAUCAGAAAAGGGAAAGAGCUUCAAGGAGCACAGGCGAGCACACUAUGACGAGUAUAGGAGAGUCAAAGAACUCCGUCGAAAGGGCUCCUUUCUUGAAGAAGCCUCAAACAGUGAGGAUGAGGAUCUUGAGAAAAGGGAUGGGAGGUCUGAUUCAUCAUCAUCAUUGACUACUGCUGUUAAGGACAUAGAGAUUGAGGAAGGCAACAUGGACACUUCUAAAUAGUAUUCUUUCCCAGCCCAUCGAGCUUAGAUCAUCCACAAGUACAUUGUUGAUUUGAUCUUACUUCCAUGUUCCUUCUGUUUAUAUUUGCUCAACUUCUGUUUGUAAAUGUAUAAAGGUCUUAACCUUUACGAUGAUAAAGUUCUGACAUAUCGAAUGAAACAUCUUCAGUUAGAUUUCUGUUUCUGCCAUCACUUUUUGGCUUUAGAUAAUAUUCUGAAAUCCAAAUUUUCGUACACUGCAUUUUGCAGUUUAUCGUAUUGAGUUUGUAACUUUUAGUUAGGUUUACUUUAGUUUUCUGUGAUAAUGUCCUAAAAUGUGGACUGUUUUCGGUGUUAUUGUAUUUCCAGUAUUUUAAAAUACCUCCGGGUUGUUACUACUUUUGUACACAUCUUCAGAAAGACAUAGUAACUUUGCCCAAAUUGCCUGCUAUCUUUUUCUUGAAGGUUUAACUUAAUUAACACUUACCCAAUUAGAGUAGUAAAGUUAAUGUAAAAAGAGGGUAAUAACCGUUGUUUUUUUUACAAUGUAAAAUGUUUCGGAACAAAUUCGCCAGAUUGAUAAAUAAUGUAGUAUUGAUUGGAUAUAUUAGUGGAUUUUCACUCGCAUAUUAAAGAAUUUUGCAAUAAUAUUAGCUACUAUAGUAAUAUUUCAACUCUACCUUUAAUACUCCGAACACCUAAAUAAAACGAUUCGAAUAAGAAUAAAGUCUCACAUGGAAAGUAAAAUAAAAUAAAAUAGUAAUAUCUAUUUAUAAUGUUGAAUACUCUUAAUAGUGUGAGACAUUCUGAAAAAACUGUUUGGUCUAAAACAGAUAAUAUUACACCAUGCUACAAGUAUCUUUGAAUAAUUUUAGCCCGAUAUCACAACCAAUGGUUUUGGGGACGCCAAUUUGCGCCCUUUACUAGUAGCUUUUCAAACAAUAUUACAUCUUUGUUAAAUGUAUCUUGGGCCGUUUUAGCCGACACUUUAUAUGGUCUCAACUUAGUAGUGUGUUAUAUCUAUCCAUGUAGUAGUAAAAAAAUCUUUGCUAUGGAUAUAAAUAGGCGUAGCCACAACUUGGGAGCCAAAUGGACAAUGCGUUAGAGUUGGAUUUUUCCUCUGUUGAAUAAGUGACUAGAUAGUAGAAAUUGCCGAGCGAGUUUGGUGUCAAAUGGCAGAAUCAAACCCAAGAGAGUCAACUCUACUAGCUUCCAAAAUAUGCAAUCAGAUAAGCUCUGUCUUCUCCAACACCAGCACAAGAACCCCUGCCUUGGAAGUUGUGGUACAAGAAAUCGCAGCCGCUGCGACCCGCAACGGCAAGGUGUUCGUGUACGGCGUGGGCCGUGAAGGGUUAAUGCUGAAGGCCCUAUCAAUGAGGCUUUUCCAUCUGGGUUUAUCAGCCCACUGCGUCUUCGACAUGAACACUCCUCCAAUUGGGCCGCCGGACCUCCUAAUUGCCUCCGCCGGCCCAGGAGGUUUCUCCACCGUGGAUGCAAUCUGUGGUGUGGCGAAAUCCAACGGUGCUCGUGUGCUGUUGCUGACAGCUCAGACCGAAUCCGGAUCUUCUGUGAAGUACGCGAGUGUGGUUGCUCAUAUUCCGGCUCAGACAAUGGCUGAUGAUAAUGUGGAGCAGGAAAAGUCGCUGCUUCCGAUGGGGAGUUUAUACGAAGGAGCCAUGUUUGUGCUGUUUGAGAUGGUGGUUUAUAAGUUGGGUGAAGUUUUGAAGCAGAGUCCUGAAGCUGUGCGAGCACGCCAUACCAAUCUGGAGUAAGCAUAAACGUUGAGGUUAAAAUAUUUGGUUUUUAAACUAAGAUGGGAUCAUCUGUACGGUGUACCCAGUGGCUGAGCUAGGUUGAAGAAAGGGGAAUUCAAUUCGUUUAGUUAUAUAUCAGAGAAAAUUCUAAUGAAGUAGCAAAGGAUGUUCAAACAUUGCUACUUUUGAAUUCUCUUGCAUAAAUUCCUGCUCUGUCGUUCCUUGAUUAUGAUGUCUUUGUGUUUGUGAGUCUACUAGUUUUAAGCUUAAUCUGGUUUCCUAUUUGUGCCCAACACAACACAAAGGAGGACAAGAUAAGGAGUAAACUUCCCUCAUUUAUCUUAUUCCAGUAUUUUAUACUACUACCUUAUCAUAUUCUUUUAUUGAGGUUUUGACGUUUUGUUCAAAUAGGCCCUAAGAAAGAAAAAUGGAAAGGGGAAUUUUCAUACUUACUCAUGGAUUAAAAAAAUAUUUCAUAAUUUACAACUUUUAACUAAAUAACAUAUUCUACCACAAAACAUAGCUCAAAUACCUUAGAUUUCCUACAAACUAGGAAACUGAUUCUAAAUAUUCCAUAAUAGUGCAGUCUCCAACUAAACCAAACACCCAAAAAUAAGAGACUAUCCUUAUUUAGGGUAAUAUAAAAAAAUAAUAAUAUAAAAUACAAUCCAUUAUGUCCUAAACAAUCUCCUUCUCCUUUGGCCUUUCCAAGCUAUAAUAUCCUGCACGUUUUUUUUCCCCCUAGAAGCGUAAAUUUCAUUCAUUUUAUACAAAAAUGUGGUAACGAUGGCAUAUGGGCUUUGACCAAACUUUACUUUUCAAUUAAUUUUUUUUUUUGAUUUUAUUUCUUUAUAUAUAUAUAUACACGCACUCAAACACAAUAUUUAUAUACCCUUUUACAUUUGGAAUAAUGUUCUUUAUAUUAUGUAUGCAUAGUAUAGUUAAUAUAUGUCAUCAAUAUAUGUUUUACAUAAUCUAUUUACAUACAUAGUAUACAUAAUAUAUAUCAUUUAUAUUAACAUUAAUAUAUCACAUUUAUUAUUUAUAUUCGUACAUUAUACCAAAUAUAUAUUAUUAGUAUAUCUAUAAUAUAUAUUAAAUAUAUUAUAUGCAUGUAUCUAAUAAUAAUAUUGACAAGAGUGGGUUGCUCUAGUGGUGAGCACCCUCCACUUCUAACCAAGAGGUUGUGAGUUCGAGUCACGCCAAGAGCAAGGUGGGGAGUUCUUGGAGGGAGGGAGCCGAGGGUCUAUCGGAAACAACCUCUCUACCCCAGGGUAGGGGUAAGGUCUGCGUACACACUAUCCUCCCCAGGGUAGGGGUAAGGUCUGCGUACACACUAUCCUCCCCAGACUCCACUAGUAGGAUUAUACUGGGUUGUUGUUGUUGUUGUUGUUGCUGCAUGUAUCUAAUGUACUAUACAUAAAUACGGUGAUGAAUUGGGAUAAGAGGGAGUAGUUGAGUGUGGAAGAGGAAAUUUGUUUUCAUUGAAUAUAUUUCAUUACCUUGAGAAUUGAGAUAAACAGCCUUACAAGCAAGUUUAUAAAUUUGUUCGUAACCAAAAUCUCUUCACAUUUUCAGAUAUAAGGGACACGAUAUAUAUGUUGGCACUCUUCACUGCCGGUUGGAAGACUACUAAUGUGGAUCCUUUAGUUAUACAAAGGUCCUAGAUUAGAUUUGUGUCUUUUUUUUUGGUCAAGAUGAUACUAAAUUAUAAUACUAAGUUAAGAUUGUUCUUAGAUUGGGCUGUUGAGUAGUUAAGCCCAUCGUACCAAACAGUGAGUAGUCCAAUGCUACAUGUACAAUAUUACAAUUUUUAACGUUUCUUUCAAAAAUAGUUCCUAGGGUGUCUGCCCAUAGUACUUCAUUGACAAACACCGGAGGAACUACCAAAAAGUUAAUUCAUAUUCUCAACUGCUUCCUUGUCUCUGUUACCAACUUGUCUGCCACUCUAUUUGCCUCUCUGAAUGUGUGGUUUACUGGUGGAUGACCCAGCGUUGCUAGGAGAGAUCUGCAUUCACAAAUCAGAAAAUCAUAUAUCAGAUGACCAUUGUUUAUGCAUUGUAUUACCUCUGUCGAGUCCACAGUGGCAUCUAAGGGCGCUAGAUUGUUUGAUAUUGCCACUUUUAGGCCCUGCGAAAAAGCUGUUAGCUCAUAAUGGAGAGUAUUUGUGCACUUGAUUUUUCCCAUGUACCAUGUUACCCAAUCCCCAUUGUUAUUUCUAAUUACCCCGGUUAUUCCCCAUCUUUUUUCUUUUUGAUUGUAAGCACCAUCACUGUUUAGCUUGUAACAACCCCGUCCUGGGGGCUUCCAUUUAAUAGAGAUAAUAGUAUCGUGUCUGGACUCUUUUCUUCCUAUUGCUAUGUGCAUGAAUCCUGCAGCCUUGUUAAUGGCCACUCAAAAGGAAACAAGAUCCUUCCUAUGGUUGAAGUUGUUGAUGUUCCUGGUUAUCCAAAUUUGCCAAAGGCAGAAAGGGAUUAAGUGUCCCCAUUUGAGAAUGUCAUUGAAGGGUUGGUGCUUAACCUUGUUAAGAGUGUGCACCAGUUUGCUUGGCUAAUUACAAGGUUUGGGAUGCUGAGGUUGGAAUGGCUUUGCUCAGCUAACUUCUGCCAGCAUUGGUUAGCAUUGUCACAUUUGAAGAGCAUGUGUUCAAUGGUUUCUUCCUCCUUGUUACAGAAGAAGCACAUGUGGUUUAGAUUCAUACCCCCUGAGUGGAGGUAUUUAGUUGUAGGGAGCCUAGCAUGGGUUACUAACCAAAGAAAGUAUUGUAUCUUGUUGGGCAAUUUUUGGUCCCAUACCCAGUUUAAGUCUUUCCCAAAGUUGUGGUCCUGAUGAUGGUUCAGACUUCUUAUGAGGGUAUAGACAGUUUUGGUUGAGAAGAAGCCACUAUCAGUUUGGUUCCAAACCAUCCUAUCCAGAUUUCCAGAGUUGGGAUUAACAAAAAUAAAAUUGAUAGUAAAAACUACCACUUCAGGGAGGUCAAAGGAGAUAUUACUAAUGUUUAAGUGACUCUCAUUGUAGCAUGUGUCUAUAUUCAAACUCUCCUCCCCCCUGUUGAGUGGACCACUGAUAAUGCUCCUAAGGGACUCCAUACCAAGGAUACAUCUGUCACCAUAAAGGUUAAUUUUAUUCCCCUUAUGUACUACCCACCUAGUAGCCUUACUACAGAUAUACCAGCCAUUUUUGACAUUUUGCCAAGUCCUAGAGGCAAUGUGCCUAGAAGGGUUUCUGCUAGUAUAAAUGCUUGUGGAAAAGCACCCUGGCCCACAUAGCAUUUGUAUUGUUGUACAUCCUCCAGGCCAUGCCAGUGUGGGUGGCAAUGUUUCUGUUUUCAGUUGUCUGCGCUCCCAAAUCACCCUCUUCCUUAGGCUUUGUCACAGUUUUCCACCCAACUAGGUGCAUUUUUCUUUUAGCUGCAGUGGUACCCCAGAUGAAAUUUCUCUGAAUUCUGUCAAUUUGGUUGCACACCUGAGCUGGGAGCUUAAUGUAUUACAUGACAUGGCCAGGGAUGUAUCCAAGAGAAGAUUUAUCUAGUAUAGUUCUCCCAGCCAUAUUCAGAAAAUGGGUUUUUCAGCCUACAAGCUUAGUCUGCAUGCUAUCAAUGAUAAAAUAACUAAUAGUCUAUAUUGGUGGAUCUUUUGUGGAAGAUGGGAAAGCCCACAUACUUACCAAAAGAGAGACUAGGUUUAAUGAUCAAUAUCCUGGCUAGUCUAUCUACUUUCUCUUGGUAGUAAUUUGUGAAGAAGAUAACUUAUACUUGAUGCUAUUUACUUUUGGCCAUACGUACAACUAAACUCCUGAAGAGUUUCAAUAAUGGUAUUACAGUUAUUGGUGUUUGCUCUAGCAAAGAGAGUAAGGUCAUCUGCUAAGAAGAGAUGGGAGAAUUUUGGCCCUGUUUGACUGAUUUUUAUAGGGAAACAUUUUCCAUUCUGCACUUUUGCAUCAAUAUUUCUUGAUAGUCUCUCCAUACACAUUAUGAAGAUGUAGGGAGACAUAUGGUCUCCCUGUCUAAUGCCCCUACUAGGCUUAAAAUACUUAGUCCUACUCCCAUUGACAAACAUAGAGAUAUAACUGGUGAAAAUAUAGGACAUAAUCAGCUUGGUGGUCCUGCUAGGGAAACCAAAGGAAAACAGUGUGUCUCUGAUAAAGGACCAUUCUAACCUAUCAAAGGCCUUCUCCCGGUUAAUUUUUAGGAUCAUGUUGGCAUUUCUGCCUUUCAUUUUCUUAAAGUGACUAAUGUAUUCUUGCACAAUAAUGGCAUUAUCACAGGCCUUCCUAUUAGACAGGAAGGCGGCUUGGCUAGGGCCUAUGAUAGAGGGCAGUAUAGGCUUAAUUCUAUUAACAAUGAUUUUAGUGAUAAGUUUGUACAUUGUAUUACAUAAGCCAAUAGGUCUGAAGUUCUUCAACACAGUUGUAUUUGCAAAUUUAGGGAUUAGGCACAGAUGAGUGGUGUUAACCUCAGGGCUCAUUUCAAGGGUGUGGAAGACCUGCUUACAAAAGCUGGUUACCUUACCCUCAAGAAUAUUCCAGUACUUUUUGUAGAACCUUGGGUGUAGGCCAUCAGGCCUAGGGGCUUUGGAAAGUUUGAAUGAGAAUAAAGAAAUCUUUAUCUCACUAUUUCUCAGGGGAGCACUAAGAAUGUUCUGAUCCCUAUGUGAAAGGGUAUGAGAGUCAUAAGGGGUGGUAUCUCCACCCUUGGUGGAGGAUUGAUAGUCAGUGGUGAAUAGGAAUGAGUAGAACUGGAAUAUGGCAUUUUCAAUACCCUUAUGAUCUAUCCAAUCCCCUGCCUCACUUUGGAGGGCCAAAAUCCUAUUUCUUCUUCUCCUGAUAAGAGUGAAGGUGUUGAAGAAUUUUGUAUUGGCAUCUCCCUCCAUAAGCUAAUUUAUCCUAGAUUUAGUUUUCCAUAAUUCCUCUUCACUUCUCAGAAUGGCUGAAUAGCCUUCUUGGAGUUGACUCUCUAGAUUCUCGAGGUAGGGUUUGAAGGGGUAGGCACUGGAUUUUUGGAUACCUCCUACCCUAGCUAGUAAAUGUUUCUAUUUAUGGAAGGUAUUAUCAAAUACUGUCUUGUUCCAAGUAGUAACUUGGUCUUGAAAUUUGGUAGUUCCCUCAAGCAGGUUAUAGUUACCCUCAUAGGUCUGCUGCACCAUAUUGGUGAGGGAGGGGUAGUUGCACCACAUGGGCUCAAAUCUAAAUGGUUUAGAGAGACUGAUGGGCAUGGACCAAAGAUUAAUAAGCACAAGGCAGUGAUCAGAGUGAGUUCUAGGAAGGUGGAUAAUUGUAUUAUAAGGGAAUUCUAGGAUCCAAUCCUUAUUAGCAAAAUACCUGUCUAGUCUUUCCAAGAUUAACUGAUUCCUAUUCUUAUAUCUCAUGUUAGUCCAGGUAAAUUUGCUACCUUUGAAACCAAGGUCAACCAGCUUACACUGAUUAAUGCAUUUCCAGAAGAGAUUAGCCCUAUGGGCAGAGAUAAAAUUCCUCCCAUACUUGUCUCUAGCUCUCAGGACUUCAUUGAUGUCCCCCUACUAGCCAGUUCCCCUGAUAGUUAUCAGGGAUAGUUCUGAGCUGCUGCUAGAGGUUUCUCCUAAGUACAUAAGUAUUACUAGCAUAAACAACAGUGAAAAGUAAAGAAUUAGAAGAGGGAUUACCUUGACCAUGACAGUAAUUCCCUUGGAUGUGGUGGAGACUUCAUCAAUUUUGAGUAGAUCAUCCUUUCACAUGAUGACUAUGCCCCAAAAUAGGCCAAUAGUUGGGCUUUGGAUUACCCAGAGAAUCCCAAUUCCUGAAUCAGAUGCUUAUGCUCCAUUAUCCUUGUUUUUAGGAGAAGUAGCAUAGUAGGCUUGUGCAUUUUGACCAUCUCAGCACAGUGCCACCUAAACUCACUACUGUUGGCACCCCUAGCAUUCCAAAUGAUAAAAUUCAUUAACAGCUUGGUGUGUGGCGGGGACUUCUUUUUCAUGCAUUUGGCCUUCUCUUUCACAGGAUUGGCCUUCAGGUUCACUUGUACAGGGCUGGCCUAUUUGUCUUACUGAAUCAGAACUGGAUUAGUCUUACAGCUGAGUCUUCUGAGUUAGGAUUUGAGGCUAACCUUAGGCUUACUACGCAUAGUUUCAUGCUUCUUGGCCAUAGUGCGAUAAGCAUUUCUCCCCCAAGCCCUCUGAACUCUAUUAACUCCUCUUGUUGUAGAAGCAUUGCCUUUGUUUUUGGCACUCCCGUCUUUGCAAUCAGGGCCUCCAGCUCUGAGUUAGAGGCUUGAAGGUGCUCGUGGACCUUUUCUGAUGCUGUUAUCUGAGUUUUCCUUGAUGGUGGGGUCGUGGUCCAUGCUAUUGUCCAUUGGGAGAAUGGGGGGCUUACAAUCUCCUCCACUGGUGUCACUAGGGGGAAGAAGGGCAGGGAGUGGCUGAUUUGAUCCAUCAGUGCACUCAGCUGGUUUGGUGUCAUUAUUUGUUGGCUGAGUGGUACCUGGACUUGUACCAAGGUUGCCAGCCACAAUUGAUGCCCAUAGUUCAAAAUUGCAUGAUUGAGGCAUACAAUGACUACCUUGGCUAAGUAAUGAUGAUUCUGGAUUACCAUAGUGAUUAGCAAAGAUCCUAUUGAGGGGGUCAAUAGAAAGGCUACUCCCUGCAAUGCCAUUUCCAUCCAGGAGGUGGUCUGGUGGUAAUGGGGAUAUUGUCACCAUUAGAGGCAUUGGUUCCUCCUCUACGUUCUGGGUCUGGGAGGGGGGGGGGGGAGUUUGCAUGUUGUUCUGUUUGUUUUCUAUCGGAGUAGAGGGAAGUAGAAGAGUAUUGGAUUGUAGAAGGCAUCACUUUAGUAGUUUUUAAGGCUUCAUUUGCCUUAGUUAGGUUUUGUGCACAAGAUUUCCCCAUUAUUACAAAUCUUUCAGAGGCGCUGAGUACUGUGAAUUCAAUUGAAGGGUCAAUGAGGUGGGAGGGGAGAGGAGAGGAGAGGUAGAGCUCUGAGUGGGUAGCUCUCUCAGAGAAAGGAGCUCUCUUUCCCUUUCAUCAAAUCUGAGGCUGGGGCUUGUAGAUUUGACCCAAGUCAUGGACCCCAUGAUAUUACCCUUAGAGAAAUUGGUUGGUAUCAUUUUUGGGUUAGAGGCGGUUAUAUCAAACUUACCUCUAUUAGUUGUUACCGCUUUUCCUUGGAACACAUGGUCUUUCAGAGAGGAGCGUGUUUGAUUUUAGCAUGUGGCCUUCAUGUGCCCAUUCUUAGUGUUGGGUUUCGGCACAUGCCCAUGUUUUGGGAUAAAUGAUUUAACCUCAAAAGGGUUUAAUACUCGGUCAAUAUUUGUUUGACUAUCCCAUUCCAGACCCAAGUCCAUUGGCCUAUCUGGGAACAAGGUCUUGGCCCCAUUGUCUUUUCGUUGGGCUUGGGCUUUUUGGCCCGUUAGGGUUUCAGCCCUGGUCAUCCUUUCCCCCAAGUCCCCAAGGACGGUAAACUUACCUGUCGCCGGUCAUACAAGGCUAUUCUCCCGUCCAUCUGCUUUCUCAACCAUGCGUUCUUCUUUUGGUGGAUGGUAUGCUCUUGCUUUCCUUCUGGUCCGUCUUGGGAACUCCACUGUAAUCCAAUCGCUGCCUUUCUAUGGUUGUGGUUCCACCGUGGAUGAUUCCGGCUUCUCCGUUGGUUCCAGAGUUCGUUUAGCUGUGCAUUUUCCCGUUGUGUGGCCUAUCCUCCCAUACCUCUUACACAAGAUUCCCUCCCCCCGUAUUCGAUUUGUUGUUUGUGGUCUCCAAUUACGACGGAAGAUCCAAGUGGGACGCCUACGAGAACUUGGAUGCAAAUUCUUGCAUAUCUGCCUGUGAGAGUGGCAGAUGUGCAAGUAUCGAUCUUCAAUAAUUUUCCCACUCUUUCUACAAUCUCCUUAUCGUAGAACUCGGUGGGUAAUGGGAAGUUUACAUAAAUACAUGUAGAAUCAUAAAAUAUUUCAUAAUGUACAACUAUAAAGUAAUUAACAUAUUCUACAACUUAAACACGGUGAAAGGAUAAAAAAAUAGCUCUUAAAUACAAUAGCUUCCUAUAAAUGAGUAAACUGAAUAUCAAACAUAUUUAAUAAAAUCAAAUGUUCCCUGAAAAUACUCCAUCGCAAUUCCUAUAAAUAAAGAAACUAAAUAGGAAAAAUUCUCCAUUGCCUUUUUAUUUGUAUUCUCCUUCUCCACUACAUUCUCAACAAACAAUCCAUUCUUUAUCAAAUUCUCCUUCUCUAGUAGUAGGAGAAAUAAUCUUUAAAUAAAAAUUACUCAAAAACAAAAACGAAACAAAAUACAUCAUAAUCAAUAUAUAGCAUGUAAACUUUAAUACUAAAAUAAUUCAAUGCGAACUAACCUGCAAUUAUAUAACAAAGAUAUGAUGUAUUGUAUAUUAUAUAUACUAAGUGUCAUAUAAGUUUAUAUUAUAUAAUGUAUUGUAUACUAUAUUUAUUAGUAGUAUACAUCCGAUAAACUAAAGUGGUAUUAUACAAUAAAAGAUAUGUUAUAUAUUAUAUACUUAUACCAAUGUCAUAUAAGUUUAUAUUAUAUCAUAUAUUGUAUACGAUAUUUAUUAGUAGUAUACAUCAGAUUCUUUUUUCUCAAUAUAUACAUCAAAUUUGUUUUGCUCAAUAUAUACAUCAGAUGAACUAAAGUGAUAGUACUAUACAAUGAAGGUAUGCUGUAUUGUAUACUUAUAUACAUUUUCAUAUAAGUUUAUACUAUAAAAUAUAUUAUAUACUAUAUUUAUUAUUAUUAUUAUUAUUAUUAUUAUUAUUAUUAUUAUUAUACAUAAGAUAUAUUUUUUAAUAAUGGGGAAGAGGUUUGAGACAUUGGGAUAUACUCGAAUCCUUUAAUGGAAAAACUGAAAAAAACUUAAUAUGGAUAGAUACGUUUUAGGUGAGAGAGAAUCUCAAGAGAGAUACAUAAGAAUAUGUUUUAGGCAUGAAAAUCUCGAAGAAAAUAUACAGUAAUACAUAUAUAUGUAUAUAUUAUACUGUGUAUAAUAUAUUUGUUAAUAAUAUUUUUUUUCCAGUUCAAUGUUUGUAUACAUAAUUAAAAUAGAUAUACUAACAUAUAUAUAGUAUAUAUAAUAUACAAUAAUACAUUGUAUAAAAAGUUGGGGGAAGUAAAUACAUUUUGCUGAUGGAGUGAUAAAGAAGAAGCAAACUUGGGGAAACAAAUAUAAUGUAUAUAUUAUUAAAUGUAUAUAAUAAUAUAUGAUUAAAAUAUACAAUAACACAAUAUAUAGUAUAUAUAAUAUAAAAUAAUACAUUGUCAAAAAAUAGUGCCCUAAUUACGAAUAAUGUCAUUCCUUCAUCACUUCCUCCAUUACGAAUAUCAAACAGUGCCCCUGUAAAAAACAUUCAAUGUGGAGACUUUGGCCAAAGAAUCAGUGUCUCCUUUAAACAUCCCUUUCUUUGUUGCUUCAGCCCCAGCAAGCCAAACUCGGGCUCGGCAUUUUACUCGUCCCACUAUACCUGAGUGUGACGAAUUCGACACAUCCACCAUUAGAGGCGGACCUAGGAUUUGAGCAGGACAGGGACACCAUUAUCUUAAACAUGCCAAUUACUAGUGAUAAAGUUCGGCGCAACUCUAUGAAAGCAUAUAUGAUAACUUAUCAGCAAAAUACAAACUUUAAUAUGGUCGAAUAUCAUCAAUGUGAUACUAAUAUAACAAAAGCACAUCAUUUAUUCAUACUUGAACUCGACGCGCUUUCAUAUUUUGAAAACGGUCAAUAAUAGCAUCAUUACUUACAUUUGUAAAUACUUCCUUCUCAAAGUAACAAACNNNNNNNNNNNNNNNNNNNNNNNNNAUCAUUUAAAAAUGUAUCACUAAUACUACUACGUAAUUCAUCUUUGAUGUACUUCGUGGAUGAAAAUGCUCUUUCCACCGUUGCCGUCGUGACAGGUAAAAUUAGAGUUAACUUUACAAGUAAAUAAAUAAAUGAAUAACUCUCUGCAAGAUUUGCAUCAACCAAGGCUUUUGUCAACCAUCUAGAGUUUGAAUCUUUAAACCAAUCCGGACUAAAUUGACGCAUUUUCUUUCCGAAUAAAGUUUUAAGGAAUUUGUAAUCAACCGGUUGGCAAGGCCCUUGUUUAAUGUAGUAUUUUCUCACUUCAUCUCGUAUUCUAAGGCUAUAUUUAUCAAUGGGUAUUUUCUCUCCGGGGUCGGAAUUUAGUGAUUCCACAUCAAAUUCAUCGACUAGACGGGAAGAAUUCUCUCUAAAACUAGAACUUGGUUGAGAAGAAUUAAACCUCAUCAAAAAUACGUCCAUCUCAAGUUACAAGAAUAAGAACUUCCUACAAAACAAUGAUUCGAUUCAAUUUAAGUGUCCAUCAAGAAUAAAAGCAAACUUUUAAUAGUGGAAUCACACCCCUUCUAUCAAGAACAAUACUAAGAGAAUAUAACAGGGGAAUCACUCAAUCACACCCUUUCUAUCAA